UUGAACGCUGGCGGCAUGCUUUACACAUGCAAGUCGAACGGCAGCGGGGGCUUCGGCCUGCCGGCGAGUGGCGAACGGGUGAGUAAUACAUCGGAACGUGUCCUUAAGUGGGGAAUAACGCAUCGAAAGAUGUGCUAAUACCGCAUAUCUCUGAGGAGAAAAGCAGGGGAUCGAAAGACCUUGCGCUAAAGGAGCGGCCGAUGUCUGAUUAGCUAGUUGGUGGGGUAAAGGCUUACCAAGGCAACGAUCAGUAGUUGGUCUGAGAGGACGGCCAACCACACUGGGACUGAGACACGGCCCAGACUCCUACGGGAGGCAGCAGUGGGGAAUUUUGGACAAUGGGCGAAAGCCUGAUCCAGCCAUGCCGCGUGAGUGAAGAAGGCCUUCGGGUUGUAAAGCUCUUUUAGUCGGAAAGAAAGAGUCAAUGAAUAAUUGUGAUUUAUGACGGUACCGACAGAAAAAGCACCGGCUAACUACGUGC
rnacentral:rRNA from 1 species